GACGAACGCUGGCGGCGUGCUUAACACAUGCAAGUCGAACGGAAAGGCCCUGCGUUUGUGGGGUGCUCGAGUGGCGAACGGGUGAGUAACACGUGAGUAACCUGCCCUUGACUUUGGGGUAACUUCAGGAAACUGGGGCUAAUACCGGAUAGGAGCUCCUGCUGCAUGGGGGGGGAUGGAAAGUUUCGGCGGUUGGGGAUGGACUCGCGGCUUAUCAGCUUGUUGGGGUGGUAGUGGCUUACCAAGGCUUUGACGGGUAGCCGGCCUGGGAGGGUGACCGGCCACAUUGGGACUGCGAUACGGCCCAGACGCCUACGGUCGGCAGCAGUGGGGAAUCUUGCGCAAUGGGCGGAAGCCUGAUGCAGCAACGCCGCGUGCGGGAUGACGUCCUUCGGGUUGUAAACCGCUUUCGCCUGUGCCGAAGCGUGAGUGACGGUAAUGGGUAAAGAAGCCCCGGCUAACUACGUG
rnacentral:rRNA from 1 species